AUUGAACGCUGGCGGCAGGCCUAACACAUGCAAGUCGAACGGUAACAGGAAGCAGCUUGCUGCUUUGCUGACGAGUGGCGGACGGGUGAGUAAUGUCUGGGAAACUGCCUGAUGGAGGGGGAUAACUACUGGAAACGGUAGCUAAUACCGCAUAACGUCGCAAGACCAAAGAGGGGGACCUUCGGGCCUCUUGCCAUCGGAUGUGCCCAGAUGGGAUUAGCUAGUAGGUGGGGUAACGGCUCACCUAGGCGACGAUCCCUAGCUGGUCUGAGAGGAUGACCAGCCACACUGGAACUGAGACACGGUCCAGACUCCUACGGGAGGCAGCAGUGGGGAAUAUUGCACAAUGGGCGCAAGCCUGAUGCAGCCAUGCCGCGUGUAUGAAGAAGGCCUUCGGGUUGUAAAGUACUUUCAGCGGGGAGGAAGGUGUUGAGGUUAAUAACCUCAGCAAUUGACGUUACCCGCAGAAGAAGCACCGGCUAACUCCGUGCCAGCCGCCGCCGUAA
rnacentral:rRNA from 1 species